rnacentral:rRNA from 1 species
GACGAACGCUGGCGGCGUGCCUAAUACAUGCAAGUUGAGCGCUGAAGGUUGGUACUUGUACCGACUGGAUGAGCAGCGAACGGGUGAGUAACGCGUGGGGAAUCUGCCUUUGAGCGGGGGACAACAUUUGGAAACGAAUGCUAAUACCGCAUAAAAACUUUAAACACAAGUUUUAAGUUUGAAAGAUGCAAUUGCAUCACUCAAAGAUGAUCCCGCGUUGUAUUAGCUAGUUGGUGAGGUAAAGGCUCACCAAGGCGAUGAUACAUAGCCGACCUGAGAGGUGGAUCGGCAACAUGGGGACGGAAACACGGCCCAAACCCCUCCGGGGGGCAGCAGUAGGGAAUUUUCGGAAAUGGACGAAAGUCUGACCGAGCAACCCCGCGUGGGUGAAGAAGGUUUUCGGAUCGUAAAACCUUUUUGGUAGGGAAGAACGUUGGUGGGAGGGGAAAGCUCAUCAAGGGACGGUAACUACCCAGAAAGGAACGGCUAACUACGU